UAGGGAAUAUUGGACAAUGGGGGCAACCCUGAUCCAGCCAUGCCGCGUGAGUGAAGAAGGCCCUCGGGUUGUAAAGCUCUUUUGUCCGGAAAGAAAAGCAUUCGGUGAAUACCCGGAUGUUCUGACGGUACCGGAAGAAUAAGCACCGGCUAACUUCGUGCCAGCAGCCGCGGUAAUACGAAGGGUGCAAGCGUUACUCGGAAUUACUGGGCGUAAAGCGUGCGUAGGUGGUUGUCUAAGUCUGAUGUGAAAGCCCUGGGCUCAACCUGGGAAUGGCAUUGGAAACUGGGCAGCUAGAGUGCGGUAGAGGGUAGUGGAAUUCCCGGUGUAGCAGUGAAAUGCGUAGAGAUCGGGAGGAACAUCUGUGGCGAAGGCGACUGCCUGGACCAGCACUGACACUGAGGCACGAAAGCGUGGGGAGCAAACA
rnacentral:rRNA from 1 species